CAGCCGUAAACAAUGUGCGUUAGGUGUGUCGGUAACCACGCGUUACUGAUGCGCCGAAGAGAAAUCGUGAAACGCACCACCCGGGAAGUACGGUCGCAAGGCUGAAACUUAAAGGAAUUGGCGGGGGAGCACCACAACAGGUGGAGCCUGCGGUUUAAUUGGAUUCAACGCCGGACAUCUCACCGGAUAAGACAGCUGAAUGAUUGUCAAUCUGAAGGUUUUACAUGACUAGCUGAGAGGUGGUGCAUGGCGUCAGUGACU
rnacentral:rRNA from 1 species